UACGAAGGGGGCUAGCGUUGUUCGGAAUCACUGGGCGUAAAGGGCGCGUAGGCGGCCUGAUAAGUCGGGGGUGAAAGCCUGUGGCUCAACCACAGAAUUGCCUUCGAUACUGUUAGGCUUGAGACCGGAAGAGGUAAGUGGAACUGCGAGUGUAGAGGUGAAAUUCGUAGAUAUUCGCAAGAACACCAGUGGCGAAGGCGGCUCACUGGCCCGAUACUGACGCUGAUGCACGAAAGCGUGGGGAGCAAACAGG
rnacentral:rRNA from 1 species